rnacentral:tRNA from 1 species
CCCCCCUUAACUCAGCCCGGUAGAGUGCUCGGCUGUAGACCGAGAUGUCGCUGGAUCAAAGCCGGCAGGGGGGACCA